GGAAAGCCAGGGGGAUGCCAAACAGGCAGAGGGGCUGAAGGAAGGAGCAGAAGAGAACGAUCACGCUAUGGAAAAGCAUGAAGAGGACCUGGGGCAAGGCUGAAGAUGUGAUUGGGCCAGCUGGUGACCUGUUGCUGGCCUCAUGCUUCCACAUGAAGAUGCCAGGCUGCAAAACGGAGAAGAAGGAAGCCCAUGCAGAGAUGGCUUCUGAGUGAGAGCUUAGGAGCAGCUGCCCGGGUGCCCGUAGGCGGUCAGAUUUCUAGAUGCACUUCCUGUUCUUGGGUUCCGCAAGACACCCUCUGGCUCUUUUGCAUACAUUUUAAGCAACUACUUCUGAAGUUGGGAAAUCAGGAGUAGCCGCUGACUCUAAAGAGAAACUAUAUCAAUUUGGAAUGUAUUUGCAUUAUCAGUGAGUUUACUGGAAGUAUUAAAGCUGGACCAUCACUUGGAGAUGUUGUAAGGAAAUGUGAACAUUUGGCGAACAGACCUUUAAAUAAAGAAGGAAGCCAUGGGAGUGGCUGAGAUCUCCCUGAGAGAAAGUGGAGAGAUGUUCAGAGGUAACUUCGUUUAGAAACUUUUAUUUAAAAAUCACAUUUAGAAACUAGAAGGUGUGGGGGGACCCAGUAAAGGAGACAGAAAGGGAUUUACCAGAGAGUUGCGGGAGCUACGAUUGUGGUGUCAAAGAACCAAAGGGAGGAGCAAAUGCAAGAUCUCAACCAAUAAGGAAGUGUAAGCGACGAAGGGCAGGCCUUGGGGUGGGUCGACUCAGCAGCUCCACCAUUUUACUGAGAGCCCAGGUGCUUUCUACCUCUCUGCUCUGCUGUGCUUGGCGUUGGCUUCACCUGAGGGUUGAAGGUUCUUUCCUUGGAUGAGAGAUAACUGUGAGUAACUGGCACAGUGGAAGGGAGAGAAAGGACACUUUCCCAGCCAUGGAAUCUGAGCUUCUGUCUUCAGUCUGAUUGGGCUAUUUUAGAUCCUGUGCUCACCCUAGCCCAAAAAGAUUCCCCGGAGAAAUGCCAUUUACUAAUACCCUUCGCCUAUCAGGAACCACCCCUGUGGACCCAGGAACAGGGUCUGUGUCCCUUGAAGCACGUGACAGCAGAGGACGGGAGGCUCCACCUGAACAUGACCAGGGGUCUCCUGGGGAGGAAAAAUGGAGAUGGAAGCUGCAGAGGAAACGAACAGCUGCCCCCACACAUGCCGUACAAGGCCUGCAUGGGAUGAUGUACGUAGAGCUGCAUUUAAUGUAUACUAAAAAUCACUGGGCCGUGUUGCUAACUUCUGUUAGCAGAGAAUGCAGAAAGGCUGUGGGAGCCUUUCAUUGCCAGCUCUACGUGACCCUUCCCCUUAUGAUCAACACCAGACCAGGGAUUUAACUACAAGGCCCUGCCUUACCCAGCUCUUUUUGUCCCCACUUUGCAAAGUUCCUAAAAUGUACCAGAUUUCUUUCUUCUUCAUGGUCUUAUAUGCUGAUCCCUCUGCGGAAAACAGUCUCUGUAUUUGUUGCCUUUUCUUACGUAGGUUUCACUUCAUGUCAUUCCUUAAAGAGCACUUCCCUGUCCUCCUAAACUGAAUUAGGUGCCCCCUCCCUGGCUUGUGUCCCUAUUGGGAUCUAGUUCCAGAUUGUAAUUAUGUUUCUAUUAUGUUCAUGUGUAGCUCUGUGGUAUGGGGGCCACAUUUGUUCUGCUCACUAGUGAAUCCUCAGAGCCUGGCACAUGGCAAUGCUCAAGACAUUUGAUGAAUGAAUUAGCUAUUUCAUGCACUUCUUCGUCUAACUCUCAUGCCUAUUGUCUUUUUUAAGCAUGUGAGACAUCUUUGGAGGUUAUUGAAUGUAAAGAUUUCUACAAAACAGUACCCAUUCCAAAAGAUUAAUGAUGUUUAAUAAACCUAAAUAAUAAGGAA
rnacentral:lncRNA from 1 species